UACGAAGGGGGCUAGCGUUGCUCGGAAUGACUGGGCGUAAAGGGCGCGUAGGCGGAUGUUACAGUCAGGCGUGAAAUUCCUGGGCUCAACCUGGGGGCUGCGUUUGAUACAUGAUGUCUGGAGUUCGGAAGAGGGUCGUGGAAUUCCCAGUGUAGAGGUGAAAUUCGUAGAUAUUGGGAAGAACACCGGUGGCGAAGGCGGCGACCUGGUCCUGGACUGACGCUGAGGCGCGAAAGCGUGGGGAGCAAACAGG
rnacentral:rRNA from 1 species